GACGAACGCUGGCGGCGUGCUUAACACAUGCAAGUCGAACGGAAAGGCCCCCUUGUGGGGUACUCGAGUGGCGAACGGGUGAGUAACACGUGAGUAACCUACCCUUGACUUUGGGAUAACUUCAGGAAACUGGGGCUAAUACCGGAUAGAAGCUCCUGCUGCAUGGUGGGGGUUGGAAAGUUUCGGCGGUUGGGGAUGGACUCGCGGCUUAUCGGCUUGUUGGUGGGGUAGUGGCUCACCAAGGCUUUGACGGGUAGCCGGCCUGAGAGGGUGACCGGCCACAUUGGGACUGAGAUACGGCCCAGACUCCUACGGGAGGCAGCAGUGGGGAAUAUUGCACAAUGGGCGGAAGCCUGAUGCAGCAACGCCGCGUGCGGGAUGACGGCCUUCGGGUUGUAAACCGCUUUCGCCUGUGACGAAGCGUGAGUGACGGUAAUGGGUAAAGAAGCACCGGCUAACUACGUG
rnacentral:rRNA from 1 species